rnacentral:tRNA from 1 species
GGGGAUUUAGCUCAGCGGUAGAGCGCUUGCCUAGCAAGCACAAGGCCCUGGGUUCAAUCCCUAGCUCCA